ACAAGUGCAAAUGCUCACAUAGUUGCUGUCCCAACUGAGCAGGGAGUAUCAAGUAGCCGUCUGAGUCUCGGUACCAUCCAUCUUUAUCUUUUUGAAGGAUGUUCACAGAGCCAGCUGCCUCCCCAGCACGAAACCAGGCCCCGGCUUUACGCCGACUUAAUCCAGUAUCAGAGCCAGCUGCCUCCCCAGCAUGAAACUAGGCCCUGGCCUUACGCCGACUUAAUCCAGUAUCAGAGCCAGCUGCCUCCCCAGCACGAAACCAGGCCCCGGCCUUACGCUGACUUAAUCCAGUAUCAGAGCCAGCUGCCUCCCCAGCAUGAAACUAGGCCCCGGCCUUACGCUGACUUGCCUCUGCACUUUACAGCCAGAUGCCUCCCCAGUAAGAUACUAGGCCUCGGACUUAAUCUGGGCUUCUGCAACGUUAGCACCGGUGCUCAGAGCUCUUAUCUCCUAAUGAGGUUACUCCCUUCUACCAGGAGAGUUGUCCUCCCUGGCGGGACAGAGAUCCCGGACGAGCCCCCAGAUGUUAUGCUCCGAGCCCGUAUCUCCGAACCGACCGAGAGAGCAAGUCCACCACAGUAUUGCAAACGCAAGAAGGGAGUUUGUUUAUUCCUAGUGCACUAGGGCCCAAGUC
rnacentral:lncRNA from 1 species